AUAGCUAAAAUAUUCGAACCCACGAGCGCAGAUCUCAACUAAAACUAUCUGAUGAUCUAAAAAUGGGAAAAGAAGCUAUUUGUACUAAGCUGAAAAAUUUGGACAAAAAUACCCAUGCGAGGCUAGUGCGGACCGCACAAAAUGGUGUGCGGCCGCAAUAAGGCUCUGAACUUGAAAAUUUAUGUCUCUGAACUCUGGCAAUACGAACCGCACAUAAUGGAGUGCGUUCGCAGAGGUUUCUGGUGCGGUCCGCAUGAAAUGGAGCGCGGACCGCAUUGGCUUGAAACUUGGAAUUAACAACUCUCUAAUCUUUCUCACUGCGUACCGCACUAAAUCGAAUGCAGCCGUGUUGAUCCCAGUGUUGACCGCACAAAACCUAGUGCGACCGUAUUGACUGUUUGCCUGAAUGUCAUGCUCUCUGAACCUCAUUCAUGCGGACCGCACAGAAUGGUGUGCGGCCGCAUUGAGCCUGUUUGCCUGAGCUUUAUCUUGUCUUGGUACUUAUGCAAGUUUCACUCCUUUUGGAGCUGAUCUUUGACAUCUUGUCACUUUGUUGAUCAAACCUGCAAUCAAGCACAACUUGUGAGCCUUUUGGGACUAUUUAGUAUAAAUUCCUAAUCAAAACAUAAGCAAGAAGGAGUAUAAAAUGCAUCAAAACCCCCUAGUUAUCACUAUAGAUUUGUAAUAUUGUCAUCUUUUGAUCUACCGUUGUUAUCCAUGUACCACAUCUUACUCAAAAUGCUUCAUUAACUCUUUUCUUAUUUCUCGCUAACAUUUAUGUCUAUCACUUUAUUCUGAAAACUCGAACAAGGCAUUUUUUUGCUUUUUUGCUUCCCUUUGCUCCAUCCAGCGGCUCUUUAAGUUGCUUAACGUUAUCGCUUUACUGGGGACGCGAGCUACACUAAGGUAAUAUGUAUCCCUUCAAGGCUUAUAGUACAUGUCUUUGUAGUACUCAUAUCUGGCUGCACUAUUUUAAAGUGUACCAUCUAGGUGUCUCACAAGGAGAUCUAUUAGCAUAUUUACAAUAUCCUUCGGAAAUGUCAACUGACACAAACAAUUCAUCCAUCACAUCUUCUUAUACUACUUCUAUUAACCCUCACAGGGCAUAUCUGGAAUGGGUGCGACCAAUUGUAUAUACCUCUGUUACUAUUGAAUAUAACUCAAAAAGCUUAUGUUCAUGUGCCUGAAUUAUAAACAUUGUUAACCUUUGUUAACUGGGCGCUUCGUACCCUUCUUUAUCUUGCUUCUUUUACUUGUUGAAACUUAUAUUUAUCUUCUUAAUUUCUCAUUUUAUUUCACCAUAAAGGUGGAUAGGCAUUCUUGCCUUAAGGCUUCUUAUCAAAAGGCUUACACCUUUUAGUAUGCACAUGAUCUGCUGAAGACCUCACAUUUACUUAUCAUAAGCAUGAUACAAAGUCGAGUUCCUCUAAUUCAACACUUCCACAGGUAUAUCUCUUAUCGAUCAUUUUUCUGAACGUAGGCAUCGUCUUAUUACAAAUAAAAAUAGAAGUUCGGGACUUGAAUUCUUAUAAGUGAGCUCUACCACACGAUCUAGAGUAAGAAGAAAGAGUGACAGUCUUAAAUGCCAUGUAGCCUCUUGCUUAUAAGUGUGGUGCAUGACACACCCAUAAACAAGACUAUACUAGACACGGCUUGUAGACUCCCUAGGACAAAACUACUCUGAUACCACUUUUUAACGACACAAACCGAUGGGCCGCGACAUGCACCCGGUACCUUACUUAACCGAGUACCAAUGUAACGCAUCUUUCUUAUUACAUCAUCAUAUACACGUGACAUACGGGCCUAAUAGGCCAACAUGAUCAUUUAUAAAUUUAAAACCUAGGCCGUACAAUCUUUUACGUACACGACAUAUGUCUACAAGCCUCUAAGAGUACAUAAAUAUCAUAAAGAUCGGGAUAAAGUCUCGCCGUUCCAAACAAUACAUGUCUAAAUCAUACUAACCAAACACGCAACACCGAAGCAAAUGGAGCGCACCAACAUCUUCCGCUGAGCUGAUAACCUACUUAAAGGGCUCUCGACCUGUCUAUCUAGACCUGCGGGCAUGAAACGCAGCGUCCCCAGGCAAAAGGGACGUCAGUACGAAAUAAUGUACCGAGUAUGUAAGGCAAUAUACUAAAGGUUGAAACUGAACUGAUAAUAUAAUAAUUGAAUGUAACUAAGAGUCAACAAUAAUCUGAAGAUAUUCUUACCUGCUGAUAAUGACUCAGCUCUCUCAAUAUAGUAAGUAAAAUAACUAUCCGGCCCUAUAAGGCUUGGUAUACAUAUAUAUGUGCUCUGUCGUAGUAGGCUCGCUCAUAAGCACUCGGCCAUACUAGGCUCUGUAUCUCGACCAACUGGGUCCGUUCAUAAGCACUCAGCCACAGUAGGCUCGGUAUAUAUAUAACUGCCCUGUCGUAGUAGGCUCGCUCAUAUGUGCUCGACCAUACUAGGCUCUAUAUCUCGACCAAUUGGGCUCGCUCAUAAGCGCUCGGCCAUAAUAGGCUCGGUAUAUAACUUACCAUCUGAUCAGAGGUUGCCCAAUAGGGGCCUGCCCAUCGAUUAUAGCUUGAUGAUAAUGAAAAUAUUGUAAUACUGUAUAUAUAGACUCUCUGCUCUCUUGACUGGAAGAAAGAAAUACUCAAUUGAAUAUAAAAUCCUGAUAAUGAGAAUAUUGUAACUUAGAAGGCUAGAAAAAUAUACGUAACUUGCGAGACUAGCAAAAUAUACGUAAAUUCCGGGAUAUAAAUUUUUCUUUAUGACUCGUUAUCAAACUUGUGUAACAACGAGAUCAUGCCAAAAUAAAGGAAGAGCUUAGCCUUAAUACCUGUUCCUUAAAUUAUUUGAUCGAAAUGAAGUUUCUGCUUCCGUGAAAUAUGUUGGAACGAGAAAACGAAGCUUCUGCUUCUGAAAUUGGAACGAAACUUUGCUUGAAUUUUGUUGGAGUUGGACGAAUUUGCUUCAAUUGUAGCCUUUGUCUUCGAAUUGGAAUAUUUCUGCCUCAACACUUCUUUGAACGAAUUUCCUUAGAAUCAAGACUUUUAAUUCUUUAACCUUUCCAAUUAAGACCAAAAGCUCCCCAACGUUAUUUUGGUUUCAAGUCUUAAGAGGAAAAUGUUUAUGCUUUUCUCAAGUUUGGUAACCAAAAAC
rnacentral:lncRNA from 1 species